AACGUAGGUUCCGAGCGUUAUCCGGAUUUACUGGGCGUAAAGCGCGUUCAGGCGGUUUGGCAAGUCGGGCAUGAAAUCCUUCGGCUCAACCGGGGGAGGUUGUCCGAUACUGCUAAACUGGAGGGCAGUAGAGGGUGGUGGAAUUCCGGGUGUAGUGGUGAAAUGCGUAGAGAUCCGGAGGAACACCAGUGGCGAAAGCGGCCACCUGGACUGUACCUGACGCUGAAACGCGAAAGCUAGGGGAGCGAACAGG
rnacentral:rRNA from 1 species